AUUGAACGCUGGCGGCAGGCCUAACACAUGCCAGUCGAACGGUAACAGGAAACAGCUUGCUGUUUCGCUGACGAGUGGCGGACGGGUGAGUAAUGUCUGGGAAACUGCCUGAUGGAGGGGGAUAACUACUGGAAACGGUAGCUAAUACCGCAUAACGUCGCAAGACCAAAGAGGGGGACCUUCGGGCCUCUUGCCAUCAGAUGUGCCCAGAUGGGAUUAGCUAGUAGGUGGGGUAACGGCUCACCUAGGCGACGAUCCCUAGCUGGUCUGAGAGGAUGACCAGCCACACUGGAACUGGGACACGGUCCAGACUCCUACGGGAGGCAGCAGUGGGGAAUAUUGAACAAUGGGCGCAAGCCUGAUGCAGCCAUGCCGCGUGUAUGAAGAAGGCCUUCGGGUUGUAAAGUACUUUCAGCGGGGAGGAAGGGAGUAAAGUUAAUACCUUUGCUCAUUGACGUUACCCGCAGAAGAAGCACCGGCUAACUCCGUG
rnacentral:rRNA from 1 species